CAGGAUGAACGCGUGGCGGCGUGCCUAAUACAUGCAAGUGAAACGGGUAUCUUCGGAUACCAGUCGCGGACGGGUGAGUAAUACAUAGGCAACCUGCCUUUAUGAGGGGGAUAACCGGAGGGAAACUUUGGCUAAUACCGCAUGAAGACCCUAAGGCAUCUUAGAGGGAUAAAAGUUGGGAAACAACGCAUGAAGAUGGGCUUAUGGCGCAUUAGCUAGUUGGUGAGAUAGAAGCCCACCAAGGUAAUGAUGCGUAGCCGACCUGAGAGGGUGAACGGCCACAUUGGGACUGAGACACGGCCCAAACUCCUACGGGAGGCAGCAGUAGGGAAUUUUCGGCAAUGGGGGGAACCCUGACCGAGCAACGCCGCGUGAAAGGAAGAAGGUUUUCGGAUUGUAAACUUCUGUUAUAAGGGAAGAACGGAUUGGAUAGGGAAUGAUCUGAUAGUGACGGUACCUUAUUAGAAAGCCACGGCUAACUACGUGCCAGCAGCGGC
rnacentral:rRNA from 1 species